CCUACGGGAGGCAGCAGUGGGGAAUAUUGCGCAAUGGGGGAAACCCUGACGCAGCAACGCCGCGUGCAGGAAGAAGGUCUUCGGAUUGUAAACUGUUGUCGCAGGGGAAGAAGACAGUGACGGUACCCUGUGAGAAAGUCACGGCUAACUACGUGCCAGCAGCCGCGGUAAUACGUAGGUGACAAGCGUUGUCCGGAUUUACUGGGUGUAAAGGGCGCGUAGGCGGGAUAGCAAGUCAGUCGUGAAAUGCCGAGGCUUAACCUCGGAGCUGCGAUUGAAACUGGCAGUCUCGAGCUGGAGAGAAGUAUGCGGAAUGCGCGGUGUAGCGGUGAAAUGCAUAGAUAUCGCGCAGAACUCCGAUUGCGAAGGCAGCAUGCCGGCUCCACACUGACGCUGAGGCACGAAAGCGUGGGUAUCGAACAGGAUUAGAUACCCUUGUAGUC
rnacentral:rRNA from 1 species